rnacentral:rRNA from 1 species
UACAGAGGUCUCAAGCGUUGUUCGGAUUCACUGGGCGUAAAGGGUGCGCAGGCGGCCAAGUGUGUGAGGCGUGAAAGCCCGGGGCUUAACCCCGGAAUUGCACCUCAAACUACAUGGCUAGAGCAUUGGAGAGGGUAGCGGAAUUCACGGUGUAGCAGUGAAAUGCGUAGAUAUCGUGAGGAACACCAGAGGCGAAGGAGGCUACCUGGACAAUUGCUGACGCUCAGGCACGAAAGCGUGGGGAGAAAAAGGG